UACGUAGGGGGCAAGCGUUGUCCGGAUUUAUUGGGCGUAAAGAGCGUGUAGGCGGCCAGAUAGGUCCGUUGUGAAAACUCGAGGCUCAACCUCGAGACGCCGAUGGAAACCAUCUGGCUAGAGUCCGGAAGAGGAGUGUGGAAUUCCUGGUGUAGCGGUGAAAUGCGCAGAUAUCAGGAGGAACACCAAUGGCGAAGGCAGCACUCUGGGACGUGACUGACGCUGAGGAGCGAAAGCGUGGGGAGCGAACAGG
rnacentral:rRNA from 1 species